UACGUAGGGGGCAAGCGUUGUCCGGAUUUACUGGGCGUAAAGAGCGUGUAGGCGGCCAGAUAGGUCCGUUGUGAAAACUGGAGGCUUAACCUCCAGCGGUCGAUGGAAACCAUUUGGCUAGAGUCCGGGAGAGGGAAGCGGAAUUCCGGGUGUAGCGGUGAAAUGCGUAGAUAUCCGGAGGAACACCGGUGGCGAAGGCGGCUUCCUGGACCGACACUGACGCUGAGGCGCGAAAGCUAGGGGAGCAAACGGG
rnacentral:rRNA from 1 species